UGGGGAAUAUUGCACAAUGGGCGCAAGCCUGAUGCAGCCAUGCCGCGUGUGUGAAGAAGGCCUUCGGGUUGUAAAGCACUUUCAGCGAGGAGGAAGGUGGUGAGCUUAAUACGCUCAUCAAUUGACGUUACUCGCAGAAGAAGCACCGGCUAACUCCGUGCCGGCAGCCGCGGUAAUACGGAGGGUGCAAGCGUUAAUCGGAAUUACUGGGCGUAAAGCGCACGCAGGCGGUUUGUUAAGUCAGAUGUGAAAUCCCCGGGCUCAACCUGGGAACUGCAUUUGAAACUGGCAAGCUAGAGUCUCGUAGAGGGGGGUAGAAUUCCAGGUGUAGCGGUGAAAUGCGUAGAGAUCUGGAGGAAUACCGGUGGCGAAGGCGGCCCCCUGGACGAAGACUGACGCUCAGGUGCGAAAAGCGUGGGGAGCAAAACAGGAUUAGAUACCCUGGUAGUCCACGCUGUAAAACGAUGUCGAUUUGGAGGUUGUGCCCUUGAGGCGUGGCUUCCGGAGCUAACGCGUUAAAUCGACCGCCUGGGGAGUACGGCCGCAAGGUU
rnacentral:rRNA from 1 species